CACGGCCCAGACUCCUACGGGAGGCAGCAGUGGGGAAUAUUGCACAAUGGGCGAAAGCCUGAUGCAGCGACGCCGCGUGAGGGAUGACGGCCUUCGGGUUGUAAACCUCUUUCAGCAGGGAAGAAGCGAAAGUGACGGUACCUGCAGAAGAAGCGCCGGCUAACUACGUGCCAGCAGCCGCGGUAAUACGUAGGGCGCGAGCGUUGUCCGGAAUUAUUGGGCGUAAAGAGCUCGUAGGCGGCUUGUCACGUCGGUUGUGAAAGCCCGGGGCUUAACCCCGGGUCUGCAGUCGAUACGGGCAGGCUAGAGUUCGGUAGGGGAGAUCGGAAUUCCUGGUGUAGCGGUGAAAUGCGCAGAUAUCAGGAGGAACACCGGUGGCGAAGGCGGAUCUCUGGGCCGAUACUGACGCUGAGGAGCGAAAGCGUGGGGAGCGAACAGGAUUAGAUACCCUGGUAGUCCACGCCGUAAACGGUGGGCACUAGGUGUGGGCAACAUUCCACGUUGUCCGUGCCGCAGCUAACGCAUUAAGUGCCCCGCCUGGGGAGUACGGCCGCAAGGCUAAAACUCAAAGGAAUUGACGGGGGCCCGCACAAGCGGC
rnacentral:rRNA from 1 species